GACGAACGCUGGCGGCGUGCUUAACACAUGCAAGUCGUACGGUAAGGCCCUUUCGGGGGUACACGAGUGGCGCACGGGUGAGUAACACGUGAGUAGCCUGCCCACAACUUUGGGAUAACGCUAGGAAACUGGUGCUAAUACUGGAUAUGUGCUCCUGCUGCAUGGUGGGGGUUGGAAAGCUCCGGCGGUUGUGGAUGGACUCGCGGCCUAUCAGCUUGUUGGUGGGGUAGUGGCCUACCAAGGCGGCGACGGGUAGCCGGCCUGAGAGGGUGACCGGCCACAUUGGGACUGAGAUACGGCCCAGACUCCUACGGGAGGCAGCAGUGGGGAAUAUUGCACAAUGGGCGCAAGCCUGAUGCAGCAACGCCGCGUGCGGGAUGACGGCCUUCGGGUUGUAAACCGCUUUCAGCAGGGACGAAGCUUUUUGUGACGGUACCUGCAGAAGAAGCACCGGCUAACUACGUG
rnacentral:rRNA from 1 species